UACAGAGGGGGCAAGCGUUGUUCGGAAUUACUGGGCGUAAAGGGCGCGUAGGCGGCCCGCUAAGUCGAACGUGAAAUCCCUGGGCUCAACCCAGGAACUGCGUCCGAUACUGUCUAGCUAGAGUCCGGAAGAGGCGAGUGGAAUUCCUGGUGUAGCGGUGGAAUGCGCAGAUAUCAGGAGGAACACCGGUGGCGAAGGCGGGUCUCUGGGCCGAUACUGACGCUGAGGAGCGAAAGCGUGGGGAGCGAACAGG
rnacentral:rRNA from 1 species